rnacentral:rRNA from 1 species
CAGAUCAACAGAUGAUGCCUAUCUUUUGAUUAAUAUGCCUAGCACCGUCUCAAGAAGGUUAGUGGAUACGGCACGCGUCGGUCCCGCCAAGGGUAAGAGCCCUCCGGUCGCCGUCCCCAGUGAGAAGGGAUGCCCGAUGCCGGCACUCGACCUAUGCCACCAGCCCAUCUUCGCCUCCUCCAGAAAGGGCAACUGCCCUAAGUCAAGUUGCCAUCGCCGCGACGGCCCAGAUUGGCGUUGGAGUAGCGAUCCCGCCACGAGCAGGUGCAGCGUCGUGAUGCGCGGCCCCAGUCGUGAUGGGUGCGGAGGGCGAGAGAGGUGGCCGAAGCAGCACAUUAGGACGUUGUCGUUCGACCACGUUCUCCAAUCACUCCAGAGAUAUCCUCUCCGCGACUGUACAACCAGAACACAGAGGAGAUCAGUAGGGGGUAAGAGCGCUGGGGCGCUAACUUAGAUCUAGGCCUCUAAAGUGCCCGACGGCUGCUCAGCGGUAUCAAAUUGACGUUAGCCAGAGUAGACAUUCAAAACAGUGACGGAGAUGGAGUACGCGGGUAUUCGAGCACGAGGCGGGACGGAGAGGCAUGGACCGGCGGAGGUAGCGGAGAGUGCCGUAGGGAUGGAUAAAACUAUCUGACGUUAAACAAAGACAGUACUUAUUACGUAAUCUUAUAAAACACACACUACUUGAACUGUAGAUGCCCAUAUACCAUUUAACACCAUUCCAUUAAGGUACAUUUCACUAGGGAAAUCGGAUAAGUUUACUCUCGUCUUCCUCUGCUGGUACAAUACACUUUAAUUUUUUAAAUACAGUUCCGGAAUAUUAUAAUCUCGUUAGUUACGUAUAGAAAGACUUUUCCUCUUCUCAUAGUCAUCGAGUUAAACAGCUCACGUGUCAGGUUGUAAUAGAGUCAACAUAAAAAAUCAACAACAAACCCUUGACAUUAUAGUAUAGACUUCCAAUUUCACUGAGAGUUAAUUAUGCUACUGGUACAAGAACAACAUAAAGUCAAUACACACGUUUAGUCUAAAACUCAAGAGGACCAAAUUAAUUCUUGGUCUAGUCAAUACAUAAGUAGGUGAGAGGAGAAAGAAAAACACUAGUGACUUUUUCGAACCAGAUAAACUGCACUUUUUCUACCGUCUUACACAUUGGUACUAUAAAAGGAUUGUAGUUUAACUAAACCAACGUCCUAAGUAAGCCGUGGUGUACAUCUACGUAGCACUUGUUUCCAAGUAAAUACCUAAAGAUCUUCUAUUUUUUUCCUUAUAAACACAGAUGGCCGGACGUAAUACGAAAUUUUACACAAACGAGUAUAGUUUUUCUAAAACCAGUUCUUUUUUCAUCUCAAAUAGAGGAGGCAAUGCAACUUAGUUCAAAAUCUUGUUUUAAUUAACUAUAAAUCAAACGUAGGUUUUAAAAGGAAAUCAAAAUGUAUCACAACAACACUACGUACAUUGACCCAUACUCUUCUUUGAGAACAAGACAACAAGUAUAUUAAGGAACGAAUGUAAAAAGACAGGUAAAACGUAUAAUUAUCGAGAACGAAAAAUUAUCCAGUAGCUCAAAGAAACACUGUUGACGUCAAAACGUGUAAAGAUUUAAUAAGAGAACUAUACUUCCCGUACCUUUAUUCUCUAGUUUAAAAGGAAGAGUAAGAGUACGCUGAGGACUAUAAACUGGAUAGUCGAUACACGUAGACCCGAAAGUAUGUACAAUAAAUCGAAUGCCACUCUAGACGUAGAAACAUAACGUCCACCAACAGUUAGACGAAAAAGAUUGUUGUAACCCUUCCCACGAGAAUCCGCUACAACAAGGAAUACGACUAUCAAGGUCAUAAGGUGGUGUGAACAACUAUAAUGAACACAUCCGAAUGAAGUCUUCAAGUCGAGGGAAGAACCCAAGGGCAUCUCCUUCUCUGAGAGUAGAGGAGAAUCGACGUUACCUGCUCAGUUAUACGGGAUCCUUCAACACCUGUAGCAUCCACACAGGUGGAAUAGUACCACGCACGUAGGUACUAUCUCUGUUCACUUAGUUCAUUAAGCCAUACUUGAAGAACUCACGUACCCCAUGAUUUCCACGUUGUUGUAGUUCCUGACACGGUGCUCCUUGUCAACCUCGCCAGCACCUUUGUAGCCCCUACGAAUAGUAGUGGGUACUCCUGCCUGUGUUGGUGCACGUCGACGAGAUGAACAGCCACGAGUGGCGUUUAAGAUUUCGGACUGACUUCGAUGCUUACCGUUUUCUGCUAUCUUCUUGAGAUUUAAAAAUACGGUACUACCUUGUCUAGUAAAUCGAUGAGAAACCAAUAAAUCAGACUGUUUUCUAGUCUUACGUUCACUUUAAACAUUGUGGUUCCGUUUAUAAAAGGGCGAUAUAAAAAGUACUACAUAUUAUCUAUCAUGAACUAACCCCACGUUAUGUAAAUGGAAAACUUUAUAAGACAGCUAUUUUAACGAGGUACGGUAACAGUUUAACGGAACACGUACGCGCGCGCACACGCACGCACGCACACACACAAAUCGUUUAACACUAUCCGAACAGUUAUCCACAGAAACAACGCUCAUAGGCUC